rnacentral:rRNA from 1 species
UUAUAUGGAGAGUUUGAUCCUGGCUCAGGACGAACGCUGGCGGCGUGCCUAAUACAUGCAAGUCGAGCGGACGGAUGGGAGCUUGCUCCCAGACCGUCAGCGGCGGACGGGUGAGUAACACGUGGGCAACCUGCCUGUAAGACUGGGAUAACUCCGGGAAACCGGGGCUAAUACCGGAUAACUCUUUCCCUCACAUGAGGGAAAGCUGAAAGAUGGCAUCUCGCUAUCACUUACAGAUGGGCCCGCGGCGCAUUAGCUAGUUGGUGAGGUAACGGCUCACCAAGGCGACGAUGCGUAGCCGACCUGAGAGGGUGAUCGGCCACACUGGGACUGAGACACGGCCCAGACUCCUACGGGAGGCAGCAGUAGG